ACCGAAAUAUAUAGCUCAGUUGGGAGAGCGUUAGACUAUAAAUAGUAAAGUCCCUGGUGCGAUCCCGAGUUCCGGCA
rnacentral:tRNA from 1 species